rnacentral:rRNA from 1 species
AGCAGCCGCGGUAAUUCCAGCUCCAAUAGCGUAUAUUAAAGUUGUUGCAGUUAAAAAGCUCGUAGUUGAAUUUCGGGUUAGUAGGUUGGUCAUGCCUCUGGUAUGUACUGGUCUCACUGAUUCCUCCUUCCUGAUGAGCCGUAAUGCCAUUAAUUUGGUGUUGCGGGAAUCUGGACUGUUACUUUGAAAAAUUAGAGUGUUUAAAGCAAGCUAACGCUUGAAUACAUUAGCAUGGAAUAAUGAAAUAGGACGUUCGAUCCUAUUUUGUUGGUUUCUAGGAUUGACGUAAUGAUUAAUAGGGAUAGUUGGGGGCAUUAGUAUUCAAUUGUCAGAGGUGAAAUUCUUGGAUUUAUUGAAGACUAACCACUGCGAAAGCAUUUGCCAAGGAUGUU